CCUACGGGUGGCUGCAGUGGGGAAUAUUGGACAAUGGGCGAAAGCCUGAUCCAGCCAUGCCGCGUGUGUGAAGAAGGCCUUCGGGUUGUAAAGCACUUUCAGUGGGGAAGAAAGCCUGGGGGCUAAUACCCUCGAGGAAGGACAUCACCCACAGAAGAAGCACCGGCUAACUCCGUGCCAGCAGCCGCGGUAAUACGGAGGGUGCGAGCGUUAAUCGGAAUUACUGGGCGUAAAGCGCGCGUAGGCGGUCUGAUAAGCCGGUUGUGAAAGCCCCGGGCUCAACCUGGGAACGGCAUCCGGAACUGUCAGGCUAGAGUGCAGGAGAGGAAGGUAGAAUUCCCGGUGUAGCGGUGAAAUGCGUAGAGAUCGGGAGGAAUACCAGUGGCGAAGGCGGCCUUCUGGACUGACACUGACGCUGAGGUGCGAAAGCGUGGGUAGCAAACAGGAUUAGAUACCCUGGUAGUC
rnacentral:rRNA from 1 species